rnacentral:lncRNA from 12 species
AUCAACUUGUACAGAUGUAGAAAUUAUUGGUGCUUAGUUGAAGAGAGCCAGGUGUCUGGAAAGCCAGACACAGAUAGUCAUAUGUACAAAUAUAGAAUGAGAAGUUUUAAGGAAAAAAAAAACAGAAAUGAGAUACUGCUUUUUUCCCUCCCUUUCUUAUUGCUCUCUGCUUUGGAAGACAUUUAACUGAUCAAAAAGUAAGCUUACUUUCUCUCUCACUUUAUAAAUGGUAUUCUGUGUACGUACAUUACGCGUGAUAGUUUCUUCUUAGUAUUCAGUAUUCUCUAGAAGAGAUGCUUUAAUUUUCCCUUUGUUUUUUGUUUUGUUUUGGACUUUGGGUAUGGAGGCUUGAGGUGACACACUUCUUGGUUUAUGACUUUCACCAUCAAUUGACAACGAAAGGCUCUGAUUCAAUGGACUGAUUGCCUUCUGUCUCCCUUUCCCACAUCCAUUUGCUUCCCUCCACUCACAUGCUACCAUUCUAAUACCAUUCAUAUAAAUCAUUUUAGUUGGAUGUGUUCUUAUAAAACGUGGGCCCGCAUUAUUCAUUUAAAUUAAUGAACAUUCCUCCGCUCAUUAUCUUUUAGACUACAUGAUAGAAUUAAUGUUACACGACAGAAAUUACAUGAUGGAAGUUUCAGUGUUCUUCAUUAGGUUAAUGACUAGAUAUUUUUUUAUUUUUCUAUUUUUUAUGUAGUAAUAUAGUUUUUGGUUGUUAGGAAGUUUGGAAUCUCAUUUUUAUUAUAUUUUCCAUUUGUUGCUGGCUGGGCUUUUUUAGCUACUGCCACAAUAAUGCUAAUAAGAACCUAAAUAACAACAAGCUCAGUGACUAUAAUAGAGACUUGGUUUUUAUUUUUGAUUAUAGUUCAAAUUACUUAUCGCUGGUUUUAUUAGCUGUAACUCCAGCAAUGUGGUAUAAUAAGCCAAUCCAAAACUCCAUGGUUUACAAAACUAAAUAUGUCUAUUUCUCUCUCAGGUGUCCUUAGGUUGACUAGGGCUCUCAGGACUGGACGAAGAACAGCUGAUCUUGGCUCUGGGCUACAGGUUGGCUGCAGGUCCACUCUAUAUGGCUCUCCAUUCUCCUUGAAACGGGAGAUACCUAAGGAAUAUUCUUCUCUUGGUGACUGGCAGGAGUGCAAGAGAACCAAACUGAACCAUUCAAAGGCUGUAAUGCAGACUAUAGGAAACACAAAUGUGUAAGAGGCCUAUGUCUAAAAGAAGACAGAGUCAUCAAAGACACCCAGUUGUGUGUGGGAGUUAUCACUGGGGGUUGAAUUAUCAGGCCAAAAACAACUGGGCAUGGCUCAGUUUCUGGAGCUGUUUCAUGUCAGGGUUAACUCCCACUUCAAAGAAACCCAGCAGACGGGAAAUGAAAGUUCAGGACAUCUUCCUUUGAAUCUGUUUUCAAAAUGGCUCAUGCAGUUUGCUGGCUGGUAUCUUGGAAAAGCGUACUUCAAGGUUCAUCAUUAUUAUUUGCCUUUUAUCAAGAGCCAAUAAUAUGCACUGAAGAUGCACGUGUACAUAUAAAUUAUUAUUCUUCACUUAUGAGGUUGGCGAUGAUAACACUGGUAUCCUUUUGGAAGAAUAUGUCUAGAAAACUUGAUGAGUGACCCACACACAUCCUCAAUAAGACUAGACCCAAAUCAAGUAGUUGGAAAAGUUAUUAAUAAGAGAUGAGACUUUCAUAGGGAGACAGACCACCAGGAUCUGGAUACAAGUUUCACAGAAGGGAGCAAAUGAGCAUUUGAAGGAAAAAAGGAGGAAAACAAAGACACCUCCUUCCUCCUUUCUGCUCCUGUUUAGUCAAAUAGAAAUAGGCAGAUUGUCCCAACUGAACCAUCUGUGACUUCUUGGUAAACAGAUCUUCGUCUUGUAAAGAAAAUUAAAUCUCUCUGAGCAGCUUCAGACUCUGAUCCUUGGACUUCUGAUCCUCAGAUUUGUGAUGGUUUGAGGUUAAUCUAUUCUCUCUGCACUGCCACAGAUCAUGUCUCUACCUGCUAAUCCAGAUUUAACUAGGCCAGUGAGCAUGAGAGUAAAAACAGGGGUCAUCUUAAUUGUUGAAAAUCAGUUUUGUCCAGCCCUAGCCUAAACCAACUAAUUUUGAAGUUACCAGGAGGUAUCCCAUAGCUCAGUAAAAUAAAAUAAGCACAUAAAACA